AAAGCUCCGAGGGGAGUGAGUUUCAGCAUCUUUGAACCUGACAGCGCUAUCGAACCAGCAUGAUCUCCGGAAAGACCCUCCUGGUGGCCCUGGUCGUCCUCGCGGUCCUGUGCAGCCUGGCUGUGGCCCAGUACAACCGAGGUUUUGGCGGAGGAAGAGGAUUCGGCGGCGGCCGCGGUUUCGGAGGAGGACGUGGCUUCGGCGGGGGCCGUGGCUUUGGAGGUGGCCACGGUUUCGGAGGCAGACCUCGCCACUUCGGCUGAUACAACCGGCUUUACACUCGACCGCUCCUGAACCCUCCUCUUGCAAUGACAACACACAAAUAUUUCCUCCUGCUUGACUAAUAAACUAUUGUUCUCGACGGAAA